CAGUAGCCGCGGUAAUACGAAGGGGGCUAGCGUUGCUCGGAAUGACUGGGCGUAAAGGGCGCGUAGGCGGCGAUCAAAGUCAGGCGUGAAAUUCCUGGGCCCAACCUGGGGGCUGCGCUUGAUACUUGGUUGCUUGAGUGGGGAAGAGGGUCGUGGAAUUCCCAGUGUAGAGGUGAAAUACGUAGAUAUUGGGAAGAACACCAGUGGCGAAGGCGGCUAUCUGGACGGUUUCUGACACUAAGACUCGAAAGCGUGGGGAGCAAACAGGAUUAGAUACCCCGGUAGUCCCUGUCUCUUAUAA
rnacentral:rRNA from 1 species